UUGUAUCAUAUUCAGUACAUAUGCAUUUUCUAUGCUGUUUCUUUUCAGAUAAAAAGCAACAGCUAUGAUGUGGGGGGCAGCACGGGCUGCGGUUCGGGGACCACGUUUAUCUGGCCCAAACACAAAUACUUUCGGGUACCCAGUACGUACCUCUGGGAGCUAAGCCAAGGUUCCAAACAGCACUUCAAAAGCACAAUGAACCACACAAAAGAACCCUGUAGCUGGUUAAUUUUCUGUGCCAGUCCUUGGCAUUUUUAUGGUGUAUUUCGAGUCUAAUAACAUUUAAAGCAUUUCAUCUUUUGAUGUUUUUCCCCACGGUGUUCCCAGGGCACGAGAGAAUGAGUGGCAGAACGGUACUAAUUGAAAAAGAAGAAAAACAGUAAUUAAAAUCCUAGGGUGAAGACACAGUAAUGGAAGUGUCAGAGAAUUACCUGCUUUGUAUGCUCUCCAUCAUCGAAGUCUUCUGGAAACUUAGGCGACGUGGGCUAAAAGAAUAUUAUAUUCAAACCAGUAAGUGCUUGGCAAACUGCCACAGUGAAAAAGCAUUUAAAUCACCAGACGUAAGAAAAUCGAGUAUAAAAAUGAAAACAAGGAAAGACUGAAGUGAUACCUUCUUGAAGCCCAAGGCCCACAGUUCCAAGCACAUAAAUAUUAUUUUAACACAAAUUUUACCCAAAUGACAGCCAGAUGAUAGAAAACACCUCAUCUGAGGACAAAGUAUUUUAAAAUCUAAUGGUUUCAGAGGAAGACAAAGUAGCUUCAUAAAACACACAGAUGAAAAGAGGAAAAAAAAAAACCCCAAAACAAAACAAAAACCCAAAACAAAAAAAAACACCAAAGCACCAACACACAAUAACAACAACAACAACAACAACAAAAACCAAACAUUAAUACUUAAAACCUGUAUCUCCUGAAAAGCUCCCACCUUUCUGGUAAAUAAGAUUUCAAUCAUAGCAUCAACUUGACAGCUUAGAUAUUCUUCAAAUGAGGGAACAAA